rnacentral:rRNA from 1 species
UACGUAUGGUGCAAGCGUUGUCCGGAAUUAUUGGGCGUAAAGAGCUCGUAGGCGGUCUGUCGCGUCGGCUGUGAAAACCCGGAGCUCAACUCCGGGCCUGCAGUCGAUACGGGCAAACUGGAGUGUUGCAGGGGAGACUGGAAUUCCUGGUGUAGCGGUGAAAUGCGCAGAUAUCAGGAGGAACACCGGUGGCGAAGGCGGGUCUCUGGGCAACAACUGACGCUGAGGAGCGAAAGCGUGGGGAGCGAACAGG